rnacentral:rRNA from 1 species
GCGACGGGUGAGUACACGUGGGCAAUCUGCCCUUCACUCUGGGACAAGCCCUGGAAACGGGGUCUAAUACCGGAUACUGACCCUCGCAGGCAUCUGCGAGGUUCGAAAGCUCCGGCGGUGAAGGAUGAGCCCGCGGCCUAUCAGCUUGUUGGUGAGGUAAUGGCUCACCAAGGCGACGACGGGUAGCCGGCCUGAGAGGGCGACCGGCCACACUGGGACUGAGACACGGCCCAGACUCCUACGGGAGGCAGCAGUGGGGAAUAUUGCACAAUGGGCGAAAGCCUGAUGCAGCGACGCCGCGUGAGGGAUGACGGCCUUCGGGUUGUAAACCUCUUUCAGCAGGGAAGAAGCGAAAGUGACGGUACCUGCAGAAGAAGCGCCGGCUAACUACGUGCCAGCAGCCGGGGUUAAUACG